CCUACGGGCGGCAGCAGUGGGGAAUAUUGCGCAAUGGGCGAAAGCCUGACGCAGCGACGCCGCGUGAGGGAUGAAGGUCUUCGGAUCGUAAACCUCUGUCAGCAGGGAAGAACGGUCACUGUGCUAAUCAGCAGUGCAUUGACGGUACCUGCAAAGGCAGCACCGGCUAACCCCGUGCCAGCAGCCGCGGUAAUACGGAGGGUGCGAGUGUUAAUCGGAAUUACUGGGCGUAAAGCGCUCGUAGGCGGUAUGUCAAGUCAAGGGUGAAAUCCCCGCGCUCAACGUGGGUACUGCCUUUGAAACUGGCAAACUGGAGUGUGUGAGAGGAUAGGGGAAUUCCAGGUGUAGGAGUGAAAUCCGUAGAUAUCUGGAGGAACAUCAGUGGCGAAGGCGACUAUCUGGCACAUAACUGACGCUGAGGAGCGAAAGCGUGGGUAGCAAACAGGAUUAGAUACCCGGGUAGUC
rnacentral:rRNA from 1 species